rnacentral:rRNA from 1 species
CGGCAACAGCUCAAAUUUGAAAUCUGGCCUCGGCCCGAGUUGUAAUUUGCAGAGGAUGCUUCUGGCGCGGUGCCUUCCGAGUUCCCUGGAACGGGACGCCACAGAGGGUGAGAGCCCCGUAUGGUCGGACACCAAGCCUGUGUGAAGCUCCUUCGACGAGUCGAGUAGUUUGGGAAUGCUGCUCUAAAUGGGAGGUAAAUCUCUUCUAAAGCUAAAUACCGGCCAGAGACCGAUAGCGCACAAGUAGAGUGAUCGAAAGAUGAAAAGCACCUUGAAAAGGGGGUUAAAUAGUACGUGAAAUUGUUGAAAGGGAAGCACUUAUGACCAGACUUGGGCCGGGCGGCUCAUCAGGGGUUCUCCCCUGUGCACUCCGCCCGGCACAGGCCAGCAUCGGUUUUCGCGGGGGGAUAAGACCGACGGGAACGUAGCACCCUCCGGGGUGUGUUAUAGCCCGGCGGACGAUACCCUCGCGGGGACCGAGGACCGCGCUUCGGCAAGGAUGCUGGCGUAAUGGUCAUCAGUGACCCGU